rnacentral:rRNA from 1 species
UACGUAGGGGGCAAGCGUUAUCCGGAUUUACUGGGUGUAAAGGGGGCGCAGACGGCGAUGCAAGCCAGGAGUGAAAGCCCGGGGCCCAACCCCGGUACUGCAUUUGAAACUGUCCGGCUGGAGUGCAGGAGAGGUAAGCGGAAUUCCUAGUGUAGCGGUGAAAUGCGUAGAUAUUAGGAGGAACACCAGUGGCGAAGGCGACUUACUGGACUGUAACUGACGUUGAGGCACGAAAGUGUGGGGAGCAAACAGG